UCCCAUAUGGUCUAGCGGUUAGGAUUUCUGGUUUUCAAACCGGGACGGCCCGGGUUAUACUCCCGGUAUGGGAA
rnacentral:tRNA from 1 species